GAAACACAUAGCAAUACGCACAGUGAAACUCAGUUUAAAAGAAGUCCGAGUCCAAUGUGAGAAGAGGUAACAAAAGAAACAUUAGUUCUUCUAGAGAACAACUGUUGCCUAAAUAUCUAAAUGUAUAUAAACCGGCAUAUUUGUUUUAACAUAUGUUCAUAAGUUUGGCAGGAGCUCAUCAUGGUUUUCAAAUCUAACAUUGGUCAACGUACUUCUUGUGAAGGUAUUUAAUUUCGUAGAAAUCUAUUUCAAAAGUCUAGAAAUAUGAGCUGUGAGAUAUUUUUUCAGCAGUUCACAUGGUUCAGAUUUUGGUCUUUGAUUUUUUUUUAAGUUAACGAACAAGUAAAAGUAUAGAAAUAUGUUAACUUUUUAUGGAUGUCAACUGAUACACAGGAAGAUGUUAAUUUUAAAGAACCACUUUCAGAAUUUUACCCAAUACAUCUUAUAAUGAUAGAUGAUUAUCAAAUAGAAGAAUGCUAAUUUCAAUUUAUAACCGAAUACAUCAGAUGUUUGAAUUAAAAUGAACAGACAUUCUCACAAACUGUCAUCCGGGAAUACUUAUCAAUUGAUAAAUAGAUAAUGUGUAAUUUAAUACCUUCAACAGUUUUUAAUGCCAUUCCAAAACGUAAAGCAAUUGACAC
rnacentral:lncRNA from 1 species